GCAGAAGAGGAAGGGACCUCUUGAGGCUUCUGUGUAUGUGUCCAGAGGUUUAUAUAUGAGCUCAUAUAUGCGGAGAUGUCAGAUAUCAGUAUCAGCUGCCUUACAUGGAUCAUUCAGGUGGGAAGGCUUUAAAGCACUGGCACUGGAACAGGAAGCACGUGACUCUCCCAGGGCCACAUAGGAAACCCUUCCACAGCCCAGGCCUCACCGGAAGCACUGAGGAUGCUUUGACAAUUGAAGACACAGAGCUAAAAAGAGAGGUAUAUCCUAUUUGAAAGGAGGGGGUCUCACCCAAAGUCUCUACUGCUUUGUCGAUGCACCACAUCUGACAUGGAGUUAAAAUGGUCUAGAUACACCAACAGUCAGUCAGACUCACGUGAUCAAGAAACCAAGAGGAGUAGAGUGGAAACAGGCAGAUGCUGAAACUGCAAGGACAAUAACCACCAUUGCAUGCCAGAGAAUAAAGGGUGCACAGUUGACUCCGUUGCUGGCUCUUCCAGGAGGCUUCCUGCCACUGCCACCGCCCCCUCAUAAGCAACGGUCUCGUCUCUGCAUGAGCAGGACCAUUUGCCUACAUGUCUUGCUGAACUCACCACCAUACUUUGUGGUUCAAAGCACAGAGAUUGUAAAACCACAUCACAUUCAAGUUCAAGACCAACCACUUGUUAAUUGUGGGAGCCUGGAAGAAUUACUUGUCUUAUUUGUACCUGCCUCUGUUUCCCUGCCUAUAAAGUGGAGUUGUUAAGAAAAUUAAUUGGGAAGUAAUUGCUGACGCAACUGCAGCACCCUGAGCUCUUAUGUAAGCCUGCAUAACUUGAAGUUUAACUGACUUUGCCAGGAACUUUUCGAUGAAAUGAUCUGAAUCUGGCUUCUGCUCUACUCUUAAAAAAUUUCAUCUGUUUGUA